rnacentral:rRNA from 1 species
AGUGAACGCUGGCGGUAGGCCUAACACAUGCAAGUCGAACGGCAGCACAGUAAGAGCUUGCUCUUACGGGUGGCGAGUGGCGGACGGGUGAGGAAUACAUCGGAAUCUACUUUUUCGUGGGGGAUAACGUAGGGAAACUUACGCUAAUACCGCAUACGACCUACGGGUGAAAGCAGGGGAUCUUCGGACCUUGCGCGAUUGAAUGAGCCGAUGUCGGAUUAGCUAGUUGGCGGGGUAAAGGCCCACCAAGGCGACGAUCCGUAGCUGGUCUGAGAGGAUGAUCAGGCACACUGGAAAAGAGAAACGGGCCCGAAUCCCACGGGGGGGAAGAGGGGGGGAAAUUUGGCAAAGGGGGGAAAGCUUGUUCAAGCCAUCCGGGGUGGGUGAAGAAGGCCUUGGGGUUGUAAAGCCUUUUUGUUGGGAAAGAAAACAAGAAGGUUAAUACCCCGCGGUUUGGAGGGAACCAAAGGAAUAGGCACGGCUUAAUUCCUG